rnacentral:rRNA from 1 species
UACAGAGGUCCCGAGCGUUGUUCGGAUUCAUUGGGCGUAAAGGGUGCGUAGGCGGUCUGCUAAGUUUGAUGUGAAAUCCCGGGGCUCAACCCUGGAAUGGCAUUGAAUACUGGCGGACUAGAGUACCGGAGAGGAAACUGGAAGUUUACGGUGUAGCAGUGAAAUGCGUAGAGAUCGUGAAGGAAGACCAGUGGCGAAGGCCGAGUUUCUGGACGGUAACUGACGCUG